GAACCAAAUGUAUGCUGGGAAUGUAUGGCCGUUGCCAUGGCAACAGAUGUGCAGGUGGCCAGGUGACGUCACUGCUGGAGGCAAAAACGGUUCCUGAUACAACACUUGUCCAACACUAUGGACAACUUCUUUUGCAUGGAAACAGUCAAACAUUAGAUGAAGCAAGAGGAAUCUUUUUUAUUGGAUAUUUUAUAUAUUUACCUUUCAAAUGUUAUUCCCUUUCUCCCCUCAUCCAUUGCCCCUCUCCCUACCUUUGCUUCUAUGAAGAUGCUCCCACUCCUACCCACCAACUCCCAUGUCAAUGCCCUGGGGAAACGAUCCUUCACAGGAACAAGGACUUCUGCUCCUAUUGAUGCCAGGAAUUGAGGGACUCGAAGAGGAUGGGGACAAUUCAGGAAGACAAACACAGUCAACUAAUGAAUCCUUGGAAACUCCUAAAGACUGAAUCACCAAACAAAAGAACAAAAGAUGAGCACAGGCUUGACCUAGGACCCUCGCUCUCUGGUAGCCUUCUCCAAAAGUGUCUAAUUGUUCUCCAAAUGUUCUGACAGCUCCCACGUCAAAAUAGAAAAAAAGUUGUUAUAUAAAGGGCCUGAUUGAAUACAGCAAAUACAGAGGCGAAUGCCAGCAGCAAACCACUGAACUGAGAAUAGGUCACCCGUUGAAGGAAUCAGAGAAAGAACUGGAAGAGCUUGAAGGGGCUCGAGACCCCUUAUGAACAACAAUGCCAAGCAACCAGAGAUUCCAGGGACUAAGCCACUACCUAAGGACUAUACAUGGACUGACCCUGGACUCUGACCUCAUAGGUAGCAAUGAAUAUCCUAGUAAGAGCACCAGUGGAAGGGGAAGCCCUGGGUCCUGCUAAGACUGAACCCCCAGUGAACUAGACUGUUGGGGGGAGGGCAGCAAUGGGGGGAGGGUUGGGAGGGGAA